AGAGUUUUGAUCCUGGCUCAGGACGAACGCUGGCGGCGUGCUUAACACAUGCAAGUCGAGCGACGCACCCUUUCGGGGGUGACGGAGCGGCGAACGGGUGAGUAACACGUGGGCAACCUGCCCUCAGCUCUGGGACAACUCCGGGAAACCGGGGCUAAUACCGGAUACGACAUCGGGUCGCAUGGCCUGGUGUGGAAAGUUUUUUCGGCUGAGGAUGGGCCCGCGGCCUAUCAGCUUGUUGGUAGGGUGAUGGCCUACCAAGGCGACGACGGGUAGCCGGCCUGAGAGGGCGACCGGCCACACUGGGACUGAGACACGGCCCAGACUCCUACGGGAGGCAGCAGUGGGGAAUAUUGCGCAAUGGGCGAAAGCCUGACGCAGCGACGCUGCGUGGGGGAUGAAGGCCUUCGGGUUGUAAACCUCUUUCAGCAGGGACGAAUUCAGACGGUACCUGCAGAAGAAGCACCGGCCAACUACGUG
rnacentral:rRNA from 1 species